rnacentral:rRNA from 1 species
CACGUAGGGCGCAAGCGUUGUCCGGAAUUGUUGGGCGUAAAGGGCGCGUAGGCGGCUCAUGAAGGCUGUGGUGAAAGUCCGGGGCUCAACCCCGGAUCGGCCGUGGCGACUCGUGGGCUGGAGCACUGUAGAGGCGGGUGGAAUUCCGGGUGUAGCGGUGGAAUGCGUAGAGAUCCGGAAGAACACCAGUGGCGAAGGCGGCCCGCUGGGCAGUGGCUGACGCUGAGGCGCGACAGCGUGGGGAGCAAACAGG